rnacentral:rRNA from 1 species
GAUGAACGCUGGCGGCGUGCCUAAUACAUGCAAGUCGAGCGAACAGACGAGGAGCUUGCUCCUCUGACGUUAGCGGCGGACGGGUGAGUAACACGUGGAUAACCUACCUAUAAGACUGGGAUAACUUCGGGAAACCGGAGCUAAUACCGGAUAAUAUAUUGAACCGCAUGGUUCAAUAGUGAAAGACGGUUUUGCUGUCACUUAUAGAUGGAUCCGCGCCGCAUUAGCUAGUUGGUAAGGUAACGGCUUACCAAGGCAACGAUGCGUAGCCGACCUGAGAGGGGGAUCGGCCACACUGGAACAGAGACACGGGCCAGACUCCUACGGGAGGGGGCAGUGUGGAAUAUUCCGCAAUGGGGGAAAGCCUGACAGAGCGACGCCGCGUGAGUGAUGAAGGGGUCCUGAUCGUAAAACUCUCUUAUUAGGGAAGAACAAAUGUGUAAAUAACUAUACGCGUCUUGACGGUACCUAAACAGAAAGCCACGGCUAACUACGUG